ACAUAUUUUAUGGGUAAUAUUUAACUUAUAAUUUCAGAAUUUGUUCAUCAAGAACUAAAGAGUCUAUAAGAAAAUAUUGGUCAACAAAUUCACGGGCUUAAACUGUAAUAGAAACUCUGGCAGAACAAAAAAUAAUAAUUGGAAGACUUUUGUUAAACAGACAGAAACCGAAGCAUUACAUAUGAAAUUUCCUGUGAAAGAUGAAAGAGAAUUUGUAAGGCUAAAUAAUAAAAUUAAUAGCAUCAACAAAAGAUCAUAUGUAUAUGUGGUCAAGCAAUUAAAAUAUAUUUUGUGCUAGAAUAUAAUAUUGAUGGGGUACAUGGCAAACGGAGUUUAAAAGGUUUAGAUAAAUUCUAUGAUGUUCUUUUAGGACCAGCCGAAGUACAGCUAAGAAAAGCACUACAGCUGCAAAAAAAGUCACUUUAAAAUGGUUUCAUUAAACAAACAGGUUCACCAUUAGUUUUUAAAUUUUCAUUUUAUAAUUAAAUAACAAUGAAUUAAAA